rnacentral:misc_RNA from 1 species
UCUUUUCUUUUGAUAGGAGAGGUUUUAAAACCAGUGUUAUUUUUGUAAGUUUAAGAGAAGUUUGUGUAUUGAAUUUUUUAUUUUUAAUAUUAAAGAGCUUUGUUAAACUUAGACUUAAGUUUAGGUCAUUUUGGGGGUUUAGCUCAGUUGGCUAGAGCAUCGGCUUUGCAAGCCGAGGGUCAAGGGUUCGAGUCCCUUAACCUCCAUUGGGCUUAUGUCCUAAAUCGUAAUUAAGUAUGUUUUUAAGUAACUUUGUUAAAGUAAUUGUUGGAAUGUGAAACAGAGGAAGUUAAAAUUUCUGGGUUAAGUUGAGAUCUGUUGAUAUUAAGAAGAAUCUCUAGAGGCAAAAGCAAGCUUUCGAUAAAACCCGAAGUUGUUUCGCUAAAGUGCAAGGAUUAAACAGGAUUGUAUUUUCCAGUAGCCUAUUUUAUAAACGAUCUGCAUUUAGUAAAUAGUUUUUAGUUAAGAAAUAAUGUAGAUUGCUAAGUGUGAUGCC